rnacentral:rRNA from 1 species
UACAGAGGGGGCAAGCGUUGUUCGGAAUUACUGGGCGUAAAGGGCGCGUAGGCGGCCUGUUAAGUCGAACGUGAAAUCCCCGGGCUCAACCCGGGAACUGCGUCCGAUACUGGCAGGCUUGAAUCCGGGAGAGGGAUGCGGAAUUCCAGGUGUAGCGGUGAAAUGCGUAGAUAUCUGGAGGAAUACCGGUGGCGAAGGCGGCAUCCUGGACCGAGAUUGACACUGAUGAGCGAAAGCUAGGGGAGCAAACGGG